UUCCAGGGCCUUUUUGACCUGAAGGCACUAUAUUCAAUCAGAUCUUGAAAGCUAAGCCAGAUCAAGCCUGGUUAGUACUUUGAUGGAAAGAACAGGUGCUGUAGGCU
rnacentral:rRNA from 1 species